AUGAAUACAAAAGAUACAUUUAAAAAAAUAUAUAUUUCCCUCUCAGAAUUCAUAAAAUAAAGUGACAGAUUAUUAGCAUAAUUUACAUGAACAAGUGUAAAAAUUGAUCAGAAACAUACCUUUACUAACCGAAUAUGUGACUGUUAUCAAAAUUUUAAUCUCUCUAAAGCUUAUAUACACGUUUAAGAACACUCAAAGAAGCCCGAAACCUGAAUUGUCACCUAACUUAAAUGAUAAAUGUAUUACAUGAUUACAGUUAGUAGUAAUCUCUACAACCUGAAGAAACGCAAGCCUUUAUCAACAUUAUCUUGCCUAAAGGCAAGAAUCCCAAAUUUACAGAUCUAAAUUUCAGUCUGAGUCUAAGGUCAAGUAUUUAUUUCAUAAUAACGUAAGCUCUUUGGUAAGGGUGCUAGUCAGCUCUCAUAUAAUAUGUAUCAAGUAUAAGCAAAUUCAAUAGAUAUCAGCAUGCUGUAUUUGUUUAGGAUCCUAACUCCAUUUUACAGUAUUAAACCCAAAUCAACAGAUCCUUCACUACGGACAAAUAUCAGCUGAUUGAAUAAUCAACUAAAGGCCUGAAUCCAUUGUUGGGAGCAACAGAAAGAAAACUAUCAAAAUACACAAAGUAGCAAAUUCCACAUAUUCUAUCUAUUGGGAUGAUUUGGAGAACCAGGCUCAGGAAUUUCUCCCUGAUUUUUUUUUUCUUGUGAUGAUGAAAAGGAAAGCAAAGACCUAGCAGCAAAUGCAAAAUAAGAGCAGCGGAGUGUUGGGGGGAAGGAAAUGCUUUGAAGCUGGCUAUUCUUCGGAUCAUAGUGGUGACAACACAUGAUCCUGAUGAUCAGACGACUAGCACAGGUAUGAAUACAAAAGAUACAUUUAAAAAAAUAUAUAUUUCCCUCUCAGAAUUCAUAAAAUAAAGUGACAGAUUAUUAGCAUAAUUUACAUGAACAAGUGUAAAAAUUGAUCAGAAACAUACCUUUACUAACCGAAUAUGUGACUGUUAUGAAAAUUUUAUUCUCUCGAAAGCUUAUAUACACGUUUAAGAACACUCAAAGAAGCCCGAAACCUGAAUUGUCACCUAACUUAAAUGAUAAAUGUAUUACAUGAUUACAGUUGGUAGUAAUCUCUACAACCUGAAGAAACGCAAGCCUUUAUCAACAUUAUCUUGCCUAAAGGCAAGAAUCCCAAAUUUACAGAUCUAAAUUUCAGUCUGAGUCUAAGGUCAAGUAUUUAUUUCAUAAUAACGUAAGCUCUUUGGUAAGGGUGCUAGUCAGCUCUCAUAUAAUAUGUAUCAAGUAUAAGCAAAUUCAAUAGAUAUCAGCAUGCUGUAUAUGUUUAGGAUCCUAACUCCAUUUUACAG
rnacentral:lncRNA from 1 species